AAGAACCCCUGUCAGGGGAGUGAAAGAGAAUCUGAAACCUGGUGCUUACAAGCUGUGGGAGCCGUACUUGUACGGUGACCAUGUGCCUUUUGCAUAAUGAGUCAGCGAGUUAAUCUGUACAGCAAGGUUAAGCGUAAGUGAAGCCGCAGCGAAAGCGAGUCCGAACAGGGCCACAGUUGUGCGGAUUAGACCCGAAACCGGGUGAUCUAUCCAUGAGCAGGUUGAAGCAAGGGUAAAGCCUUGUGGAGGACCGAACCAGUUCUGGCUGAAAACAGUUUGGAUGACUUGUGGAUAGGGGUGAAAGGCCAAUCAAACCCGGUGAUAGCUGGUUCUCCCCGAAAUAUAUUGAGGUAUAGCCUUGCGGAUUGUCUUAUGGAGGUAAAGCUCUGACAGAACUAGGGGUCCUAUCCGACUACCGAAUUCUUUCAAACUCUGAAUACCAUUAAGAUUUACCGCAGGAGUCAGACGGCGGGUGCUAAGGUUCGUCGUCAAAAGGGCAACAGCCCAGACCGACAGCUAAGGCCUCCAAAUGCAUGCUCAGUGGUUAAGGUGGUGGCGUUGUGCAGACACCCAGGACGUUGGCUUAGAAGCAGCCAUCGUUUAAAGAAAGCGUAAUAGCUCACUGGUUCAAUGGCGCUGCGCCGAAAAUGUAACGGGGCUAAGCAUGCUGCCGAAGCUUCGGAUUUGUCUCUGACAACUGGUAGGGGAGCGUUCUCUGCGGGCUGAAGCGGAACCGAAAGGUUUCGUGGACUGCAGAGAAGUGAUUAUGCUGACAUGAGUAACGAUAAAAUAUGUGAAAAACAUAUUCGCCGUAAAUCCAAGGUUUCCUGGGUAAAGGUAAUCUUCCCAGGGUUAGUCGGACCCUAAGGCCAGGCUGAAAGGCGUAGCUGAUGGGAAACGGGUUAAUAAUCCUGUACUUGUGCGAUUGUGCGAAGAAGGGACGCAGGAUGGUAGACAGGCCGGUUUUUGGAAUCCGGUGCAAGUGCGUAGGCGUGCUCCGCAGGCAAAUCCGCGGGGAUGAGCCGAGACACGAGUCCGUGGGCGUAAGCCCUGAAGCUGUUGAGCCACGGCUGCCAAGAAAAGCUUCUAAGUUUAGAUCGCGCGAACCGUACCGCAAACCAACUCAGGUGGAUGGGAUGAAUAAUCCAAGGCGCUCGAGAGAACUCUGGCCAAGGAACUCGGCAAAUUGACCCCGUACCUUCGGAAUAAGGGGUGCUCCCCAUGGUGAGACAAAUACUUGUUCAGCCUCAGGGAGCCGCAGAGAAAUGGUGGUGGCGACUGUUUACUAAAAACAUAGGUCUGUGCGAAGUCCUACAGACGACGUAUACGGACUGACGCCUGCCCGGUGCCGGAAGGUUAAAAGGAGGAGUCAGCGCAAGCGAAGCUCCGAUUUGAAGCCCCGGUAAACGGCGGCCGUAACUAUAACGGUCCUAAGGUAGCGAAAUUCCUUGUCGGGCAAGUUCCGACCUGCACGAAUGGCGUAACGAUCUCCACGCUGUCUCGGCCAGAGACUCGGUGAAAUUGAAGUCGCGGUGAAAAUGCCGUGUACCCGCAGAAAGACGGAAAGACCCUGUGCACCUUUACUAUAGCUUGACAUUGGGUUUUGAACCUGCAUGUGUAGGAUAGGUGGGAGGCUGUGAAAGCUGUACGCCAGUAUGGCCGGAGCCACCCGUGAAAUACCACCCUUGUUUGUUCAGGACCCUAACUCGCAGCUGUAAUCCAGCGCGAAGACAGUGUCUGGUGGGUAGUUUGACUGGGGCGGUCGCCUCCUAAAGAGUAACGGAGGC
rnacentral:rRNA from 1 species